CUACUCAGCCUCCUGCACCAUGGCGGGGGGGGGCAUUUUCACCCUCCCCAAGCUCCGGAGGCUUUCCUGGAGCCUCCAGGACAGCACCGAAGGCCCUCCGGAGGCCGGAAAUGGGCUCAUUUCCAGACUUCCAUUAGGCCCGUUUUUCACCCUCCCAGAGCCUCAUCCUAGUUUGAUGAACCAGAUUAAAAUUAACAUGCAGUUCACCUGAACCGGUCCGAACCGGUUGAAUCCCACCCCCGAUAGUAGUUGAUCAAAGGUUCCUAAGAACUUGAAUGCUUGCUCACAUUGGGCCUUUGAACUGACCCAGUACAUUUUUGGGGCCUAACAAGGACAUUAGAAACAAACCAACAAGGGUUGUUAUCUAACAUUGACUAUUCUAGAAGCCUAUCUUCCAAAUGAUUUGUAUAAAUCAUUGUUAAUUGUAGAUUUUAAAAAGUACUCAUUAUGAUUAGUAAUGGCUCAGAUCUCUUUUCAUAGUGGCUCAGAUCUCUUUUUCUUUUUUUUUCUUUUUUUUUGUAUUUUAAUUUUAAUUUUUAAUUUUUUUAUUGCAAAAGUUUUACAAUUACAUUUUCACCCCUUUUUUCACCCCCCCACCUCCCUCCCCAAACAUCCCGUCCUCCCUAACCCUCCCUAACCCUCCCCCCCAGACUUCCCUAUUAUGUACUCAUAACUAAUAACACUGAUAUAUAUACCUGAACCCAUCCCUCCCCCUAUAUAAUUUUCCCUCUUUAUCUCUUCACAUUAAGAUAUUUCUAAUACAUUGUUUUCAAAUAAAAGCUAUUUGGUACUUUCUAGUUUGGUAUUUGUUCUGAACAUAUUCUAUCCACCUUUUCCAUUCCCAUUCAUAAGUCUCUUGUGAACAAUCUUUUAAAUAUGCUGAAAUCUUCGCCAUCUCUGCAAAACUGGCCAUCUUCAAAGUCCAUUCCUCGAUUGUAGGCAAAGCUUCAUUCUUCCAAUAUUUACCUAUCAACAAUCUUGCUGCUGUUAUCAUAUGCAAUAUUAAUUUUGUUUCACCCCGUGUGAAACCCUUAACUAUACCGCUCAGAUCUCUUUUUCAAUAACUUUCCAUUUUGAUGUCCCAAAGAUGCUUUUUCAGGAGGCAACUGGAUUUUCUUGAGCACUACUCAGGUGACUCUGAGGACACGGAUAAACCUCCAAAUGCUUCAAUGACCCUCUAAAAGGAUGCAAAUUACCAGCUGUCUGCAAGGAACACAAAUCCUUCCAUUCCCCACUAUCCUGUCAGAGCUGAAGAAGCUUCUUGGAUGAGAAGUGAAACGUCUUCAAAAGAAAAAACAAGAAACUCCAGUUGCCUCCUGAAAAAGCAUCUUUGGAACAACCAUGACCUGGAUGACUGAAAAUCUCUAUAGACUUUCAAUUUUGAUGAAUCAAUGAGAUCUGGACAUUUUUCAGUCCUGUCAUUUGGUGCUUGGGCCACAUAAUAUCAGCAUCAUAUAGAAUCAAUUUAAAAGAACCAGAUUCAUAGAUUCUUCUCCAUGAUGAAAACGAUGGCAGAUGCUCAGACAAAAACAAAAAUAUAGGAAUAUUUAUGCCAAAGAUGAACUAAAAAUCACAUGAAUCUGGAUAACGCAAGACAUGCAUGGUCCCUAUGAUUUCACUGGCCAGCCUUACAAAUAUUAUUUUAUGUAUUUUAUUGCGCUAAAACAUCCGCAUGCUGCUUCCCAUUAAAAAAAAAAUUCAAAGCAGUUUGUAAUAAAGUUCAAGCAUUUAAAACAAUAGAACAGUUAAUAAAUAUAUACGCUGCAAACAUUAUAGGAAAAAAACACAAACAAAACAAAUGAUAAAAGUAGCACAGAUUAAAAAAAGCAGCGGUGAAGAAGUUAACAUUAACAUUUUAUUUUAAAAACUUGAAAAGUAAACAUUUAUUUGCUUGGCAUAACAAAGGCAAGGUAGAUGGCUCUGUGCAUAAUUCACUAGGGUGCAAUUACCAAGAUUGGGAGGCCACCACUGACAAGGCUUGUUCUUGGCUGAUCACCAGCCAUGAGUCAUCAUGGGAGAGCACUGGGAACACAUCUUCCUAAAUAUGAUCUUAGAAUGUGAAUAGGAACAUACAGGAAGAGGCAUUGCUUCAGACACCCUAGUCCUGGUAUAUGAAGGGCUUUAUAGCACACCUUGAAUUAGAACUGGAAACAAAGGAGGAAUCAAGUCAUAAACAACUGACAUAUUUCAUUUCAUUCAGUUUCAAAAUUCCUUUUGCUGCAAUCUUUUAUAUUAACUGAAACUUCCACACAAUUUCCAAAAAUACAUAUAAUCUCUUGCUGGCACCUCAUAAUGGAACCCCCCCCCCUACAAUUCUCUGCUAUAACCACACACCAGCCUAAGCUACUGGUAGGUGCCACACUACCAUAGAGAUAAUUUCUCCCUCAAAUGUUAAGUCACAGAAGGAUCAGUGAGAUUUAAAGUCUCUAGAGAAAGGGUAUAAUUUCAUUUAAAAUUAGGGUGCAGUGGCAAAAGAAAACAUCGCCUCAUUCAUAGCAAAUUGUAUUCCCUCGCUCGUGAAGAAGAAGUUCUAUGGAGAUUCUCAGUCAUCCAUGGUUAUCCCAGAGAUGAAAUGUCUUCAAGGAAAAACAAAAAAAGUCCAGAAUUAUCUGCCAUCAUGUUUCCAGAGUCUUUGAACACCAUUAACUUUUAAAAUUUCAAUUAAAUACUUCUCUAAUUUAAACCUACAAAGCCUUUGAAAGGAAAAAUGACAAGAGUUAGAUCAAACAUAUUAAACAAUCUCUUGAUUUUGUUUUGCCCCAUAUUAAUGCAGUCAGAAGCCAUUAUAAUUCUAUUACCCACUUGUGAGCAGCUGCAAAUGCACUAGCCUCUACAUUCAAAGAGAAUUAAUUGCUGUUGGUUAUUGACAACUUGCAAGUCUGUCAAUCAUCCCAUUUCCUUGAAGAAAAGCAUCAGCUUGAUCUUCAUGUAUUCUCUCAUUCCUGCUCCUCAAAGGACAAGAAACAAGCUUAUUGUGAGAGAUAUAAAUGCAUUAUUUCCACUACCUGAAAGCAGAAAAUGUGGACAGCCUGAACAAGAUCCCCCUAUUAUUGUUAUUUGUCCACAAAAAAUAAACACACAAUAUCCAAGAAAUGGGUUUUCCUAUAAUCUAUGAGGAAUAUAAUCGAACACAGUGUACAAAAUUAACCCUCUACCGUACAGUAGCAUGCCUCCCUCCGCGUUAAAGCAUACAAUCUUUAAGUGAAGAGAAAUGCUCAUUUGCCAGUUUUACUCAUCUUUCCCAAGAGAAUCCUUGUUAUGUUAUAGAUUAUGAUCAAAAUAUACCAAAGAGCACUUCCAUUCAGAAAUCAGACUGAAUUUAAAAAUGUUCCAGACUGGAAAGCUGGACUCAAACAAAAAUUAAAAACACUCACGGUUAUAGAAAAGGUCAAAGCAAUAUAUCUUAGUAGCAGAAAACCUUGGAUCAGAUAAACCAAUAACAUAGCAGGUAAUUUGGAGAAAUGGCUCUGCAUUGAUAAGAAAAGACAGGUCCAUGGAUUCCAAGUAGAUUAUUUGGGAUUUGUACCUUUGAACUUCACAGUGCAAACAGAACAAAAACACUAGCAAAUGUGUUACUGCAGUCACAAUUACCUGGAGAUUCUGGGUCAGUGUAGAAUCUUACAAUAUAUGUGUAGAACAAACUUCCAAUUCCUUUCUUUUAAAUGGAAAUAUACUUUUUACAGACAGAGAAACUAUUUGGCCACUCAAAAUCCCAUAUACUUUCUUCUCCAUUGUGGACUUUUAAGUCAUUGUCAGGGUUAUAUUAUAGAUACUUGGCUCCCUCAUUAUAGGUUUAAAGUUCCUAUAGGUUUACCUACAAGGAUUUCUGAUUGAACAGCUGUCUAGUACAAUGAAAGAAAAGCUAUGGUCACCCAACUCCUAUCAUCCUCAAUCAGCAUAGUCAAAUUAAGAAUCACAAGAUCACAGCACAUCAACAUCUGAAAGUCACAAGUAUAUCAUACACAUAUAUAAGCGUGUAGGUGCUUACACAAUCCCUUGAAAAGAUCCAACAGUAAGAAACAUACUUAGUCAUAAUACCGAAAACCUAAUUUGGAUUCUUGUCUCUCUUUUGCAAAGCAGACAAAAUUAAGAGUAUUUAUUACAUGCCCUCCUGAUUUAAAGAUUAUACAAACUGAAGAGAAAUUCCGGUUGUGAAUGACAGAUUAUGCUUCAUCAUUUAGAAAGAACAUAAAAUGUUUAAUAGGGCUUUUAAAAAUCUAAGGUGAAUAGACAGCUGGCAUUCUAAAAAGUCUCUUGGCACAUAAUUCAUUUUACCCAAAUUGAUUAUCUAAUAAUCACAGCUAAACACCUUCACAAGGUGAAUGAUAUUUAGCUUGGGGAAAUCUAUACAAAGCACUGUGAUUUUACUUUUAAAUAAUAAACAGGGUCAAGAUAACCAAGGUGGCUAUAACAUCCAAAUGAUCUCUUACGGUGUUAUGAUAAUGCAGUAUUAAAGGCUAUUAUGGUUAAUACAUAAACACUGGAUCUCCCAUAUUAAUAAAAGAUAGCUGCUGAAAAAUGUACACUUUAAAAAAGUAUUCAUGUCUAAUAGUUAGAAAGGGAACAAAAUAAGAGUUGCCUAAUGAAGCAGCAGAUCAGGUAAUAUAUUUAAUGUACAGUAAUAUGCAAAAUUCAGUCAACUAUGGUCAUAUGUUAUAUAUCAAUGAAUCCUUAAUAGAACAGAAGUUAGUAGAGUGUUAAAUGCAACAUUUUUCUGCGCUUGAAACCAUACUUAAUACUUAGGCGCAGUUGUUUAAAUGUUCAAAAUAAGAAAACCGUGAAUAUGGAAAGAUUUUGACACCCUCCAAGCACUGCUUUGUAACAUUGCAGCUGGCAGAAAUAACAGCAUUCAAACAGUUUUUUGUAACCAGCUAGGAAUCUUUCUAUUCGGCUUUUGGGGGGGAAAUUUCCCCACUGUUCCUAGCAGACCUUUUCUAGCUCAGAAAUAUUUGUAGUUCUCCUUGCAUGUGUGAGAUCUUCCCACAGAUUUUUCAACAAUGUUCAAGACUGCAGGUUCUGAAAAGACUGAAUAUUUCAGCAAGAUGAAGAUAUAAAACAUGCCUCCAAAUAAAUGAUUAAAUAAUUACAGGAAAAUAAGAUGAAGGUUUCAGAAUGGCCUUCACAGACCCCACCCCAGCCAUUUAUGUUUUAUUUUGAACCGCAAACUCUUAUAGUAACUUGUUUCAUGAUAAUCCCCCACCCCCAAUGAUCAGAACCCUUGAAAUAUAGCUGCUCAGAAUGGCCAAGUAGAAGUUCUCCUUGAAAUGGACUUUUAGGUUCAAAUCACUUUGUACGUCUCUCAUUUACAACAAGCAAGUGUUGUUGUUAAGAGAUAUUAGACCUCCACCCCAUUGCAGGCAAAGUUAUUGCUAUUACCCUCACCAUACAGGACCUGCUGAGAAACUAAUAUACACACUCCCUGCCGUGUAGUUCAGUUAUAAUCCUAGCAGAGGUAAGAGAACUAGGCUGAAAGCCAUCUUUUGCAGCAGCCCUACAAGGCUGUCAGAUGUUAAUAUUGCAGACCAGAGAUCAGGCAAUUUAAACUGCCCCUUCAAACUGUAUCCCUAGUGCAAUUAAGCAUUUAAUUAAAUGGAGAACGUUGUUGAAUGAAGGUGUAAAGCACAUUGAAACGGACCAAAAUCAGAAAACACAGUGCUUGGCUUCAUUUUUAUUUUUUCCUUACACCCACUAAGCCAGGAUGCCUAUUUAUUGGCUUAGAUAUAAACUGGGCAGGCAGAAAAAACCAAUUUGUAAAUAACGAAGGGAUUUCUAACAUUCCCCCUUCCCCUUUAUGUGCAUGGGAAAAAUAAGUAGGUGUGCUUGUGUGUGUAUAUAUAUAUAAAUUUAAAGGAAAAUAAUAUUCACAAACCCACAGAAUUGUGUCAUAAGCUUCCAGAGCCUUCUAAAUGCUGAGGGCUUAGAGAAUGUCUUUGUUUGUUUUUUUUUGUUUUGUUUUGUUUGCUUUUCUAAAAAAGCAAUCUCUUCAUGGAGGGAUAUUGAAUUCUAUUUCUGUUGUUAUCUAGGACAGAAGUACUGUUAAGAUCUGAGAAGAGAAGUAACUCUCCACUCCAAACCAAAGAUAAUAUUAUAUUCUUUCUCCCAAUCGUAUCUUUAUUGUGUAUGCAGAUGCUAACUAUUAUUUUGGAAAAUAGUGCAUCAAUGACACAAGAGAACAUAGCCCUACUUUAAAAGGAAGAGGAGAUUGGACACACAAAAUAGCUCUGCUCUUUUUUUGUGGGUUAAAUAUGGUUAUUUAAGAGACAACAGACUGUGGGCUUAAAGACUGAAAUGUAAGGAGGAGGAGGAAGAAGGAGAGGGAGGGAAGUGGGAGGACGAGGAGGAGAAUUGAGUAGACUAAGCCUAUAACAACUUACAGUCUUCUGGAGUUAAUCAGGAGGCUAAAUUGCUUAGAUUCCAACUGGUGGCCAUUCCUACUUCAAGUCUUAUAUUCUUACUCCGUAGUAAAAGAACAAAAUGCUGGCUUUCUCAGCAAAAUUCCAAUGUCACAUUACUAAUAAGGAGUACUUAAAAUACAGCAAUAGCACUUUGUUAUAGGACUAAUUCUGUAGUAAAAAGUAAUAACCUCUAAUUUCCCAUCAAACUGUUUUCGAAGUAGCAUUGUUUCUUGCAGAUAUCUCAUGAGCCCCUUGUCUAAUGGUAACACCAAGGUUAAAAUGAUUAAAUGUAACUUCUUUAGUUAAGGAUGAUUAAUGUUCAAAGAAACUGGGGCAUGGAUCUAUUUGCACAGAUGCAGAGCAGGUUUUCUUUUUCAUAUAUACAGUGGGUGAGAAGAAAAGGAGACUACCGUAGAGUGAAGCUUUUAAACUGAAUGGGAUGGGGGGGGGGUUGCACUGUAUAUUUCAAUGAAAGCAACAGGAGUUUCCACCAAGAGACUAAAUCAUUUCUUGCAUGCUGUGAUGUGUUUGCCAGUCACUUUGCAGACAGAAUCAUUUGUAUUCAGGCCAAGUUGGGGCUGCCAUUUCUAAACAGAAGCAAACUUUUAAAGUUUUGCAGCGGCCACAUUUUGUCCUUUGAAGGAUACAACCCUGACUGCAUUCAGAGGUUGCCUUUUCUGAAUUGUUUUAGUCAAUGAAAAUCAAUAGGCUGGAGUCUUUUGGAGGGGAUGUUUUAUACAGGUGGGCCAAGGGAUUGCUUCCAAUAGGUUGCCAUAAUCUCAACCCCAGAACCAUGGAUCAGAUUCUGCCAGGCUGAUUCCAAAUUGUUCCUCUUGGUCUUGAUGGGGGCAAGCAUUUGAACCACCGCUCUGCUGCUGAGCCCAAUAAUUGAUCAAAGAUCUAAACCAGAGGUAAGCCAGGCCAGCCAAAAGAACAAAAGCUCUUCGGAUAACUUUGAAAACUAAUCUGUUUAUUAUUGCAUCAGGUUUUUCAGGUCACAGUCCACUUCAUCAGAUGCAUGGAGAUUAAUCCCAAGAAGGCACUAUCCUGCAUGCCGUAAAUCUAUGUGUGGUGCUGUCUCCUCUGUUCUUGGAAUGGUACAGCAUUUAUAAUGAUCAACACACAGCAGUUGGCAAAGAUCACAGUGGGGGUGAUCCUCUGCACAGAAAACACUGCAGAAGAAAACAAGCUGAGAGAGCACCAUGGAGCCCUCAGAUAACUUGGAUUAUCCUCGCCCUUCCUUCUGCUAGUUGCAGAUAAAUCCAAGAUCCUUUCCUUAAGGACUAGAGAAGGAGGACGGGAAAAGCUUUUAUCAUCUCCACCACUUUUGAUUCCACCUUUGCUUUGGGAAGCCUUCUACUUCUGCAAAGACGGGCCUUUGAUUGACUCCGCAUGAGAUGAAAAACAGAAGACAUUGUUUCCCAUAAUCAUCUAAAAUUAUUUCAAAUUUCUCUAGCACCAAAUGGCCCAGUAAAUCAGAAGUAGAUUUGAUGAAAAACCAAUGUUACAACAGCAAUAAAUAUUGGCAUUCCAGAAAAGUUUCAUAAAGUUCCUGGAAACUGAUGCAAGGAAGUCAAAAACUAUUCAUCUUGGAAAAAAUGGCUUAAAAGAGUGAUUAAAUAGAAUAAUUUCGGAACAGCAUUUUAUCCAGAGAGUUGUUGUUUCUUCUUGUGAUGGUAUGGUUAACCUUACAAAUUAGACCAAGUCAAGAAACUUAUUUCACUGAAAGACUAGCACCAUAGUUUAUUCAAAUAAACUAUAGCAACAGAGUCUUGAAAAUCCACCUUUGUUUUUUCUUCCAUCUGCAUUUCUUUCUAAAUCUUUCCCACUUCCCCAAUCUUAAUGCAUGUUUAACACACCUAUUAUUGUUUAGUGGCUUCUGAAUGGCUUCUCCAGGGUCAUCUCUAUGGCUCCUGACAGGUAUCCAAAUGUUAGAAAAACUAUAUACAACCCUCACAGUGUUUGCUUACUUUAGAUAACUGGACAUUUUCAAAACACUAGAAGUCAUAUCAGGACCAUAACCCUCAAAAUACAAUUUUCAGCAUGGUUGAGAUUUACUCCCACAUUAGUAUAUGAAUAUGCUGCACAACUCUUGAUUCAAUUGUGGGAAAACAAUACACCAGCUCUAUUCAUUCCAGAAGGAUCCCUUCCAAUGUUAAUUACCAUUUUAGGUUUACAGUUGGUCAGCGCAGCUUUGAUGCUCUUAAUAUCCAUAGGGGUCUGCAGCUAGACAGAACAAUGAGGACUUAAUAACAAAAUGAUGCAAAUCCUACCAUAAUAUAUGUCCUGCCAAUAAAGGACAAUAUCUGUAGCUCAGGGUUGAAAUGAGGGGUCCUUGGUGGUCUCUGUGCUUGGUUGU